AUGUUUGAAUUAGAAUGUGAUGCUAGCGGCAUUGGUUUAGGUGGUGUUCUAUUGCAAGAAGGCAAACCAGUAGCAUACUUUAGUGAAAAACUCAGUGGGCCUAGUCUGAAUUAUUCAACAUAUGAUAAAGAACUUUAUGCACUAGUUCGGACUUUGGAGACAUGGCAACAUUAUUUAUGGCCUAAGGAGUUUGUUAUACAUUCUGAUCAUGAAUCACUCAAGCAUAUUAGAAGUCAAAGCAAACUGAACCAUAGAUAUGCAAAAUGGGUUGAAUUUAUUGAAUCUUUUCCUUAUGUUAUUAAGCACAAGAAAGGGAAGGAGAAUGUUAUUGCCGAUGCAUUGUCUAGACGCUAUACCAUGUUAUCACAACUUGACUUCAAAAUUUUUGAACUUGAAACUAUAAAAGAGCAAUACGCUAAUGAUGUCGAUUUUAAAGAUAUAUUGCUCAAUUGCAGAGAGGGUAGAACUUGGAACAAGUUCGUCAUUAAUGACGGAUUUGUUUUUCGCGCUAACAAGCUAUGCAUCCCAGAUAGCUCUAUUCGUCUUUUGUUGUUACAGGAGGUGCAUGGAGGAGGACUUAUGGGACAUUUUGGCGUCAAGAAGACAGAAGACAUCCUUGCUAGUCAUUUCUUCUGGCCAAAAAUGAGAAGGGAUGUGGAGAGAUUUGUUGCACGCUGCACGACAUGCCAAAAAGCUAAGUCACGAUUGAACCCACAUGGUUUAUAUAUGCCUCUUCCUGUUCCUAGCACUCCUUGGGAAGAUAUAUCUAUGGACUUUGUAUUAGGACUGCCUAGAACACGACGGGGGAGAGAUAGUAUAUUUGUUAUUGUCGAUAGAUUCUCUAAGAUGGCACAUUUUAUACCUUGUCAUAAAAGUGACCAUGCUACUCACAUUGCUGAUUUGUUCUUUCGCGAGGUAGUUCGUUUACAUGGUGUGCCACAUACAAUUGUUUCUGAUCGUGACACAAAAUUCCUUAGCCACUUUUGGAGGGUGUUGUGGACAAAAUUGGGGACUAAGCUUUUAUUUAGUACUACAUGUCAUCCUCAAACUGAUGGUCAAACUGAAGUGGUUAAUCGCACAUUGUCUACUAUGCUUAAGGCUGUUUUGAAGAAGAACUUAAAAAUGUGGGAAGAAUGUCUACCACAUGUAGAGUUUGCUUAUAAUCGUUCCGUUCAUUCCACCACAAAAUUAUGCCCUUUUCAGAUUGUUUAUGGAUUUAUACCUCGUGCACCAAUUGAUUUAUUACCUAUUCCAUCUUCGGAGAAGGUAAACCUU
rnacentral:rRNA from 1 species